AGUGACAAAAAAUUGGACGCCCCCUUAUUUGGCAUGUAAUAGUGUGUGGCGCCUCUCAUAAACCCUAAUCUCCACGCCCCCUAUAAAAACGAUCCAAAAGUUGGGCGCCAAGAGUAUGAGAAAAUUAUUUUUUUGAUACUUAGCCUCCUCUCUUCUCUUUUUUCUCAUGUUCUUCUUCAUCUCUAGAAGAUCUGUGAGAUCUGAAGAAGAAGAUACAUCAGCCAUCAAAGAGAAGAUUUCUGUAAGGGAGCUAGCACCUCGGG
rnacentral:lncRNA from 1 species